GAUGAACGCUCGCUACAGGCGUAACACAUGCAAGUCGAGGGACCGGCGCACGGGUGAGUAACACGUAUCCAACAUGCCCUUUACUCGGGGAUAGCCUUUCGAAAGAAAGAUUAAUACCCGAUAUAAAGGAUGGGGAUGCGUUCCAUUAGGUUGUUGGUGAGGUAACGGGCCACCAAGCCUUCGAUGGAUAGGGGUUCGGAGAGGAAGGUCCCCUAAAAUGGAACUGAGACACGGUACAAACUCCUAGGGGAGGCAGGAGUGAGGAAUAUGAGGCAAUGGGCGUUAGCGUGAACCAGCCAAGUAUCGUGAAGGAUGAAGGCUUAUGGGUCGUAAAUUUCUUUUAUAUAAGAAUAUGUAUUAUAUGAAUAAGGAUCGGCUAACUCCGUGCCAGCAGCCGCGGUAAUAC
rnacentral:rRNA from 1 species